UUAAACUGAAGAGUUUGAUCAUGGCUCAGAUUGAACGCUGGCGGCAGGCCUAACACAUGCAAGUCGAGCGGCAGCACGGGGAGCUUGCUCCCUGGUGGCGAGCGGCGGACGGGUGAGUAAUGCAUAGGAAUCUGCCCGGUAGUGG
rnacentral:rRNA from 1 species